UUCUCAGUGUGCCACCAAGGAAGAAUUGUUGACAGCCUGGCAGGAAGCAGGUGACAGAAGCUUCUGUGGCUCUUGUGUCACAGAUGUGUCUGCAGCGAGGACUUUUCCUGCUCCUUUGCUGAUUCCUACAAAGAAGACUGGUUCCCAUGGCAGGGGUCCUCUGAGAGGGAAGAGCAAAGGCAAACGACAGAAGAAACCCCACGAGCCAAACAACAUCCUGAAACACAUCGUGACAGAACUGCAGAAAGGGCAUGGGAUGGACAGAGAGGCUCUGUGGAAGGUGGCAUUUCCUGAAGGAAGGGAAGAGAUGCCAGGCACAGUCCCAGAAGAUUGGGAUCACGGCUUAGAUUACUUGGAAACACUGGUGAAUGGUGGUUUGAAGACCUUGCCAGAUGUUGGAGGCAAGUUCUCAAUGUACAUUUCCUGACAGAAUAAUCAGUGUCAAUGUGGCAAGAGCUCAGUCAAGUGGCAUUUCCCUUAAGUUCCUCUGAAGGUUGAUCAGUUCAGGAAGUCUUGCCCUGCUCCAUUCUGGAGCUCUGAAGGAUCCCACAGGAUUGCUGUCGAUGGGAGCAUUUAUCUGUCCAUCUUCCUCUCGUGUGCAAUGCCAGUGUGUCCUUCCGUGUGCUCUGUUGCAGCCACCGAGAAGGGCAGA